UACGUAGGGUGCAAGCGUUGUCCGGAAUUAUUGGGCGUAAAGAGCUCGUAGGCGGCUUGUCGCGUCUGCUGUGAAAACCCGAGGCUCAACCUCGGGCCUGCAGUGGGUACGGGCAGACUAGAGUGCGGUAGGGGAGAUUGGAAUUCCUGGUGUAGCGGUGGAAUGCGCAGAUAUCAGGAGGAACACCGAUGGCGAAGGCAGAUCUCUGGGCCGUAACUGACGCUGAGGCGCGAAAGCAUGGGGAGCAAACAGG
rnacentral:rRNA from 1 species